CCCUUUCCAGAAUCCGAUGCCAAUAUGACUGAACUCCAGUUUUUGCGGUUGUCGCCACCGCCGCCGCUGCUAGGGCUGGUGAUACAAUGCCGCUGAGGAAUGAUCCUUUAAACAACCACUGGCAACAGAACCUCAGCCCUUUAAGGUCAGAAUAUUAUUGCUUUUAUCAUCAGAAGUUUAAAUCUUCAGGGGGGAAAUGAAGCAGAGCAGUGCUCAAGGAAGGUUUACAGCUAAGGAGGCUCCAUGGAGGAUUGCCUGAAGGACAUGAAGUCCAUCCAUCUCUCCAGAUAGUUUAGAUUAUAUCUCAAGAUCAAGAUGUGGAAGCCGGGAUUCAAAGAUGACACAGGUGGCAGUGCUGGCCAUCAAGCUAAAGCGUCAUACCAUGCUGGCCUCUUCCUAAAAGUAAGUCUUGCCUGAAUUAGCAUGAAAAGUGACUCAAGGUCACUUUUCAUUAUGGAAAGUGACUCAAGGUGAAGGGAGGAUAUAUCAUUUCCUUCUGUCUUUUGUCGCCGUUGUUGAGAUGGCAGCUACUGCCCUUCAUAUUUGCUAAAGGGAAAAAGUGAUUACCAAACUCUUCCUGGUUUUAAGGGUGAAGUUAAGUAACUGGAAUAAUAUAAAAACCGAGAGGAAUCAACUAGAAGAAUACACACUGAGUAUGCAGAGCCAAAAAGGAGUAAUCAGCAGAGGAAUGUUGCUGGGUAAUAUACUUUGAAAAUUCCAUAUCAACACCCUAUACUUUGGCUGAAAUCCAAACAUAUAAUCUAAGCAAGGCCCUCUAAACCAGUGAGUUUUAAAUUCCUUAUGUUUAACAGAGAAGCAGCUGGAGGCCGUCCUAUUCUUUAAGAAAGAGGAGGAAUGAAUAGAUUCCUCAGGCUGAUAGAGCUGAGAAAGGCAUCUCCGAGGCUCUUGCAUCACCUGUGUUAAUAUGCAGGUCCUCAGAACUGCAGCUUUCUCAACUCGGUCCUAUCUUAUGCGCAUUAUCCUGGAAUGUUCUCCUCUGUUGCUCUCUGGGAAUCUGCAGACAGUUCAUGUGGAAGUCUCUCUCCUCGUCUGAAGGAAUUAAAUAGAAUAUUAUAAUUACUCAGAGUUUAAUAUAUGCUACAACUGUUUUUGCUGGCUUGGCGUUUAAAGAUGCAAAUGUUCCAAUCUCCUAGAAACAUGACAUUAUAAAAGGGACUACCGUAAUUAGGAAUAAAACUGUUCAGUCCUCAUUAACCAGAAAAGCAGUUUCUAAACCCAGGGAGGCUCUACUUUUAUUCCAAGAAAAGUCAGGAAGAUGGUGCCACAAGAGCCUAAUAAAGAUUUUGGGUCAACUUGUGCUCACUGCAAUUGAUUAGGAUCCAUGUGAAAUGAUUUUUAAAAGGAAAUGAACAACAAAUGCUUCUGACAGAAGAAAAGUAAUCAGGGAAAAGCCUGAAGAAUCAUCUUAAGCACACUCUUGUUUAAAGUUUCACUAUCAUUUUAUUCUUGAUUGCCCAAAUUCAUUCAGCCUUAAUGCAUUGUUAAAGAGCCUGUCCUAUUAGCCAAGGAUGUUAUGGUAACUGGUUGUAAGACUACUGCUCUCCUGGUUACAACACGUGACUAGAAAAAUGCUUUCUUAAUUAAGGCUGAGAGUGAUGAGUCCCUGGUGACUCAAAGUAGUUAAGGAGUGUGUAUAAAACUGAGCACAGGCUAGUCUCGAAGAUGAUGGCAGGCUUUACUUUGGUUCUUUGAACUCCUCAUCCAUUCCUGUCCUGCCAGAACUGUCUACACUGAUGCCUCACUGUGGCAUUAGUCACGGUAAGAGCCAAACGUGUUGUAAGCCUGUGCCUUUUUAUACCUGUCGAAGGGGAUUUGGUCACUGAAAUCACAAGUGAACCAUGUUAUAAGGUGUUUAACUGUGAGGCAGUCUCCCACAUAGAAGGAAGACAGGAACAUUUGGAAGGAAUGUGAUUUGUUUAUGUUUUCUCAUAGGUACUUGCGACGUGUCUGCUUCUGAGAAAAGCAACAUCCAUAGAUUUCAGAUAGAUAGCAUAUUAUCUAGCCCUCAUUUUUUCUUUUAGCUGAAGUUCUUAUCACCUGUGUUUCAAAACCUAAUUAAGCGAUGGUUCAUUCAUAGCAGGACACUGGACAGGAACUAGGCUCUAGUCUCUUCUUUGUCACUAACCAAUUCUGUGGAUCUCGGCAAAUUAGCUCUCCAGUAGAACGUUGUUGCUUUGUCUUGUAAUAUUAGCAGCUCUAUUUAUUAAACACUUUCUCUGCAGUAGCACUUUAACUAGAUUGUUUCAUUUAAACCUCAUCAUAACCCAAUGGGCAGGUUCUAUUUUAACCUCCAUUCUGCAGAUGAAGGAGUUGAGGCAUAGAAACCUGAAUAGUUUGUCCAAAGUGACACAACUUGGAUGUGAAGGGGUCAGGAUUUGGUUUCGUUUCUGCUGGUGUGCUGAACCUACAGGCUAUGUGUUUCUCUUAUUGCCAGACUACCCCACCCAAGAAUUUAUGGAGCAGGGAGAUUUUCCCACUCCACAUAUUCUUAAAUGUACUUAGAAAUGAGUUGGCUUAACUCAUGUAACAUGUCUAUGCUGCUAUAUGUAAUUUGAUUUUUUAAUUUUUUAAAUUUUUUCUUCUUGUUUUCCCAACCAGAGUAAAAUGUCCCGAUGAGUUAGUGGAAAGACUACUUCCUAUAGGAUAAUGAAUGAGUUAUCUGCCCUUUAUAAAUUCUUUCCUUUAUAAAUAGAGAUAAUAAUGCCUGGCUUAUACUUUUUUGAUGUUUUAAGUACAAAAUGGCUAUAAGAUGGAUAGUGGCACUAUAAAAAGAUAAUUUGUUUAUAGUAUUUUAAAAUAUUGGCUCUCUCGGGAAAGGCUCCUUCUUCCACAGUGUAUCUGCCGGGUCAUGUCAUGUUGUGAGAUGCUAAAGUAGAGGUGUUGAUCAUACUUUGUGGUUUUUCCAUUUAGAAAAGAAUUCUUAAACACAUUCUUAUUUAUCUUUGCACUAUUAAUUAAUGUAACAGGAAGAACAGUUUAAUGGUGAAUGUGAAACCUUUAUUGAGUACCUAAAUUUGCUCUAGAUGUUAGCUCAUUGAAUUCUCACCAUUGCUCUAUGAGAAAAAUGUGAGAAAACUGAGACUCAGAGAUGUUAGGUAACUUCCAUAGGACAUACAGUUUUCUGUUGAGAGCUGGUAGGGAGACAGAGGUUUAGCUCUCUCUAGAAACCAGAGCUUCCGCCAUGUCAUACUGAAUACAGAAACAUUCUUUAAGAUUUUUGUGCAUAAAUAUACAUACAGAUGUAUGUAUAUUGUUCAUGUACCAUUUUAUUAAAAUAUCCAACUGAACAGCCAACAUUUUCAUAAUAAAUAUUAUGGUGAUAGAACAUUAUGGCUUAAAAUCCUGAAAGUACCCACUGGAAAAGACCUUAAAAUCAGGAAGCUCAACAAGUGAUUCAUUGCUUUUCCAGCUGCUGCCUGGACAUUGCCUGCAAUGUGGAACUCACUGUCUCAAGGGCAAACAGUUUCACGUUUUACUCGUAGAAAGUAUUACCAUUAGACUAUCCAUCAGGCAUCUCAAAUUUAACGCGUUCAAAACUUAAUCCAUAAAGUUGUUCCAUAAUUUUGUUUAAAGUUAAUUGAGGAGCUGGGCUUACCAGAGAAGAGCAGGCACUAAUGAGGAUAACAUUAUUCCAUCAAUAAUUAACGACAGAUUAUAUUUUAAGAUUUUUUUUUAAUUACUGAGGCCAAAGAAAGAGGUCAGUAGGAACUGUUGCCUUAUAUCCUUGAAAUUUACCAAAAUUACCUUGUUAGAGCUUAAUGCUCCAUUUAUGUUAGAAGACAAUUGCGUCAGUCAGAGUUCCAAGCAAAAAGCAGCCGGUACUUUCAAAAGGGUUUUGAGGCAUGUUAAUGAAAGGACGUUUACAAAGGUAUGGGCAUAGUUCAAGGAAAUCAACAGAGUAGAUCUUCACCACUGCAAGCAUUUCAGGGACAGCAAUUGUGGAGGACCAUUAGCAGCUAUAGGCAUGAGAGAGUGAGGAAGGAGCAAGUUUCAGCAGAACCCAGGGCAAGUGACGAUACAAGACCCCCAGCAAAGACCUGGAACCAACCCAAAUAUCCAUCAUCGAUAGACUGGAUAAAGAAAA